GACGAACGCUGGCGGCGUGCUUAACACAUGCAAGUCGAACGGAAAGGCCCUGCUUUUGUGGGGUGCUCGAGUGGCGAACGGGUGAGUAACACGUGAGUAACCUGCCCUUGACUUUGGGAUAACUUCAGGAAACUGGGGCUAAUACCGGAUAGGAGCUCCUGCUGCAUGUUGGGGGUUGGAAAGUUUCGGCGGUUGGGGAUGGACUCGCGGCUUAUCAGCUUGUUGGUGGGGUAGUGGCUUACCAAGGCUUUGACGGGUAGCCGGCCUGAGAGGGUGACCGGCCACAUUGGGACUGAGGUAGGGCCCAGACUCCUACGGGAGGCAGCAGUGGGGAAUAUUGCACAAUGGGCGGAAGCCUGAUGCAGCAACGCCGCGUGCGGGAUGACGGCCUUCGGGUUGUAAACCGCUUUCGCCUGUGACGAAGCGUGAGUGACGGUAAUGGGUAAAGAAGCACCGGCUAACUACGUG
rnacentral:rRNA from 1 species